GUAAUAAUCAUCAUGGCUUUGGUGUGGCUGCAAGCAGCAGUUGUUGACGGGUGCACUCGGAUAGCUUAUAGGUGUACUACACAAAAAGAAUGUUGCCCAGAUACCUCAUGCGUGCAUCUUCCUCAAGACCGAUAUCCCUUAUUUACAUGCGUGAACGACAAUGUCAUCUGCCUAAGGCGUGCCCCUGAAAGUUAAAAAAGUAAAAGGAGAUUAUCAAUCAAGAGCUAGAAUUGAUGAGGACUUCAGAGUGUUUCAGGGAUACCAGCUGUAACGACAACUCUCAAAUGCCGAG